rnacentral:tRNA from 1 species
AAGAGUAUAGUUUAAUGGUAAAAUAGAAAGUUCCAAACUUUAAGUUUUCAGUUCAACCCUGAAUAC